UUAGUUAUUUGUCCACACCCUGACAUGAUGCAUUCUCUUUAAGGUCAGCAGUGAAAGGAGAGGAAAGAAAGAAGUUAAUGAACUCCAGCCCUUUUUACCUUUCCAUUUUCUCUUUCUGCUCUGUGGCAAUACCAGCUGAAAUAAAAAAAAGCUGCUCUUUGGGUAUAUAAGCGGUGAGAAGAAAAGCUGUGGUUUGUUUAAGCCUCUGCUGUGACCAUCUGUGCAAAAAGAACCAUCAUAGUCAUGCAAGACAGGCCAUCUCUGAGUCUGCUCAAAGACAACAAUGGAACAAAAAGCCAGAAGGAUUCUAUGAUUAAUCCAGAGUUCAUGUUCCACAUGAUGAACUCACAACAUAUCUGGCUAUCUCCAUGCUCCCACCUGAAUGAAGAGCUGUUAGUAAGAAUGAGAAAAAAUUGAUCUUGAAGAAUGGUCUACAAAAUGGAAAAUCCUUCUACUGCCUGUUAUAUUGCCCAUCAUUUGCAGCUCUCAGGGACUUAAGGAGGCCAAUGGUGAACCAGACUGAUUCGAUCCCUGAGUCCAGGACUGGCCAGUGCCAAGCUGUUCUUUGCAGUAAAUGUAGUGAUUAUGCAGUAGACAGCGACAGCAUUUUCAAAAUGUAUAUGUAAUUCCAGCCCCAAUCCAGUCCCCAAACUCUACCAGGUGGCCAAUGUUUCGCUUGCCUUCUAAUCCUAUAUUGGUAGUUUAUCUAGCUGGCUGCUAGUUUCCCUGUUUACUUCCAUCCUUUGUCAGUCUUUUCCAUUCAGAUAGCAAGUUCUUCAGUGUAGAAACCCUCUCUUCCAUUCAUGUGUACAAGGAAUGGGCACCACGCGAUACAGGUCUUAAACUAUGUAUUACUAUUAUUCAUUUUUACUAUUAUACAUCUUCAAACCAUCUGUCUUAUUUCCAUACAUUUGACAAUCUUCCUAGAUGGCUAGUAAGUUCAUGUCACUGGGCGCAUCUACACAUGCAUUAAAGCAAUUUUUCUAAUGUGCAUUAAAUUUAGUACCUCCAAUGUGAGGGCACCUAUCAUGUGCUGGUUGUCUGUUCUGAUGCAUGCUAAUUUGUAGGGCCCUAUUCGAUUCAGAUUCAGAGUCAGCCCAAACUGGGGACAGUGAUUCAAUUUGUUGAUUUGCAUCACUGUCUCUGAUUUGAUUCGGCUGAAUCCAAAUCUGAAGAUUCGAUGCUGAUUUGGAGAAUCAGCAAUCUGGGCACAGACACAAAGUUUUAAAAGUUUUUUCUACAUAUCUUUAGGUAGCAGGCACAGCUAAUGAUCGCUGUGAUGCUGGGGCAGAUGAAGUAUCCCACAGGAGCAUGGUGAGGGGCGGAGGUGGGCAGCCCUUUGCGUGCUCGGCAGCAAACCCAGAAGUGGACCAGAAGUACUUCUGGUUCACUUCCGGGUCUGCCAGGGA
rnacentral:lncRNA from 1 species